AAUCUGCCCGGUAGUGGGGGAUAACCUGGGGAAACCCAGGCUAAUACCGCAUACGUCCUACGGGAGAAAGGGGGCUUCGGCUCUCGCUAUUGGAUGAGCCUAUGUCGGAUUAGCUAGUUGGUGAGGUAAUGGCUCACCAAGGCAACGAUCCGUAGCUGGUCUGAGAGGAUGAUCAGCCACAUCGGGACUGAGACACGGCCCGAACUCCUACGGGAGGCAGCAGUGGGGAAUAUUGGACAAUGGGCGAAAGCCUGAUCCAGCCAUGCCGCGUGUGUGAAGAAGGCCCUCGGGUUGUAAAGCACUUUCAGCGAGGAAGAACGCCUAGUGGUUAAUACCCACUAGGAAAGACAUCACUCGCAGAAGAAGCACCGGCUAACUCCGUGCCAGCAGCCGCGGUAAUACGGAGGGUGCAAGCGUUAAUCGGAAUUACUGGGCGUAAAGCGCGCGUAGGUGGCUUGAUAAGCCGGUUGUGAAAGCCCCGGGCUCAACCUGGGAACGGCAUCCGGAACUGUCAAGCUAGAGUGCAGGAGAGGAAGGUAGAAUUCCCGGUGUAGCGGUGAAAUGCGUAGAGAUCGGGAGGAAUACCAGUGGCGAAGGCGGCCUUCUGGACUGACACUGACACUGAGGUGCGAAAGCGUGGGUAGCAAACAGGAUUAGAUACCCUGGUAGUCCACGCCGUAAACGAUGUCGACCAGCCGUUGGGUGCCUAGCGCACUUUGUGGCGAAGUUAACGCGAUAAGUCGACCGCCUGGGGAGUACGGCCGCAAGGUUAAAACUCAAAUGAAUUGACGGGGGCCCGCACAAGCGGUGGAGCAUGUGGUUUAAUUCGAUGCAACGCGAAGAACCUUACCUACUCUUGACAUCCUGCGAACUUGUGAGAGAUCACUUGGUGCCUUCGGGAACGCAGAGACAGGUGCUGCAUGGCUGUCGUCAGCUCGUGUUGUGAAAUGUUGGGUUAAGUCCCGUAACGAGCGCAACCCUUGUCCUUAUUUGCCAGCGCGUAAUGGCGGGAACUCUAAGGAGACUGCCGGUGACAAACCGGAGGAAGGUGGGGACGACGUCAAGUCAUCAUGGCCCUUACGAGUAGGGCUACACACGUGCUACAAUGGCCGGUACAAAGGGUUGCGAGCUCGCGAGAGUCAGCUAAUCCCGAAAAGCCGGUCUCAGUCCGGAUCGGAGUCUGCAACUCGACUCCGUGAAGUCGGAAUCGCUAGUAAUCGUGAAUCAGAAUGUCACGGUGAAUACGUUCCCGGGCCUUGUACAC
rnacentral:rRNA from 1 species